CCUACGGGUGGCAGCAGUGAGGAAUAUUUGACAAUGGGCGCGAGCCUGAACCAGCCAAGUAGCGUGAAGGAUGACUGCCCUACGGGUUGUAAACUUCUUUUAUAAAGGAAUAUAGUGAGGCACGUUUGCCUUUUUGUAUGUACUUCAUGAUUAAGGAUCGGCCAAAUCUGUGACAGCAGCCGCGGUAAUCCGGAGGAUCCGAGCGUUAUCCGGUUAUUUUGGGUUUAAAGGGAGCGUAGAUGGGUUGUUAUGUCAGUUGGGAAAGUGGUCGGCUCAACAGUAAAAUUGCAAUUGAUACUGGUAGUCUUGAGAACAGUUGGGGUAAGUGGAAUUCGUGGUGUAGGAGUGAAAUGCGUAGAUAUCACGAAGAACUCCGAUUGCGAAGGCAGCUUACU
rnacentral:rRNA from 1 species